GACGUCGUGGCGGAGUGGUUAUCGCGUAUGACUAGAAAUCAUAUCCUUUCGGGGGCCUAGGUUCGAGUCCUAGCGGCGUCG